AAGUGUUCAGGGGUGUGGCAGGCGAUUCUUUCUCUGAGAUUUUUGACAGGCUAAGAAAGCUCCUACCACCAAGUACACGGGCCUCUCACUGUUGUGGCCUCUCCCGUUGCGGAGCACAGGCUCCGGACACGCAGGCUCAGCGGCCAUGGCUCACGGGCCCAGCCACUCUGCGACAUGUGGGAUCUUCCCGGACCGGGGCACGAACCCGUGUACCCUGCAUUGGCAGGUGGACUCUCAACCACUGCAACACCAGGGAAGCCCUUAUCUUCUUUUUUAAAAAAUUGAAGUAUAGUUGAUAUAUAUAAUAUAAUGUUAGUUUUAGGUGUACAACAUAGUGAUCCUAAAAAUACAUUAUGUAAUGAUCACCACGGCAAGUCCAGUAAACAGCAUUUUAAUUGUUAAUUUGCUUCCUUGUCUCUUCACUGUGAGCUGCCUAAGGGCAGGGACUCCACGGUCUUUUCCUUUUGUUAUUCUUAGUGCCUAGCACAGUACCUGGACAUAAGAGAUUCUCAGUGAAGAGUAAAACAAAGUCAGCACCUGUGGAGUACUUCCUAUACGCCAGGCACUGUUCUCAGCAUAUUAAUGAUAGAAUCUAUUCCCUGAGGUUUUUAGAACUGACUUAGAUAAGCCAUUUCCAAAACCUGGUACAGACUAAAUGGUGAAUAAACUAGCAAAUUUUAUUUCAUGAGUUAUUCAGUUCUUAGAACAUAUUUUGUAUGCAGUGCUACUAUUUCUUCUCAUUUUAAAGAUGAAGAAAUGGAUACUUACAAAGGUUAAGAAACUUGCCGAAGGUCACUUACUCAGCUUAAGUGCCACAGUGGAGUUUUGUUUUAUUUUAACAUCACCUUCAUAGUUUUUGACAACUAAGUACUGUUGUUAGUAUUUCUUCUUUUUCUUCCAAGUCAGGUUUAUCGAGGCAUAAUUUAUAUACGAUAAAUUUCAUACCUUUUACUGCACGGUGCUGUGUUACAGUCAUGUAACUACCACCACAAUCAAGAUAGGGGACAGUUACACCACCCCAAAGAAUCCCCUCAUGGACUGAAGCCAUGAACUCCUUUCCCCACUCCCCGGCUCUGGGAAACACUGAUGUGAUCUCUGUCCCUUCCAGCUUGCCUUUUUCAGAAAGUCACAUAAGUGGAGUUAUACAGCAUGUAGCCUACUGAGGCUGGCUCCUUUCACUUAGCAUUUGAAGUCUGUGAAGCAUUUGUGAUUCAUCCAUGUUACUGCUGUGCUACAUGGCAUGUGGAAAAUUAGUUCCCCGACCAGGGAUUGAACCCGUGCCCCCUGCAGUGGAAGAACAGAGUCUUAACCACCGGACCACCAGGGAAGUCCCCAUUUUCUGAUAUGAAAAACUGGAGAGCAAGAAAGAAAAGCAGAAACUAUCUAAAAAAAAGCUCUCAAGUUUCUGGUAAACACUGAUAUAACACAAGCAAGGAUUUUUCCCUAGGGCCCAUUACAGAUACGCGGGCCUCUGAUUGUUGUGGACUCUCCCGUUCUGGAGCACAGGCUCCGGACACGCAGGCUCCAGAUGUGCAGGCUCAGCAGCCAUGGCUCACAGGCCCAGCCGCUCCGCGGCAUGUGGUAUCCUCCCGGACCGGGGCACAAACCCGCGUCCCCUGCAUCGGCAGGCGGACUCUCAACCACUGCGCCACCAGGGAAGCCCCCAUCUUCUAAUUUUCCUUGCAAUUUCUUCUUUGAUCCAUUCAUUAUUUAAGAGUGUAUUGUUUAAUUUUCCUAUAUUUGUGAAUUUACAUUUCCUUCUGUUAAUAUAUUUCCAUAACGUCAGGAAACAUACUUCGUAUGAUUUCAAUCCUUUUAUAUUGAGUCUUGUUUUAUGGAUUAGCAUAUGGCCCAUCCUAGAGAACGUUCCACUUGUGCUGAGAUGAAUGUGUACUCUGCUGCUGUUGGAUGAGUCAUGUUUUUAUUUUUUAAUCAAGUUUAAAGUACAGAGGUGCCUGGAAUCAAACACAUUUUCAUCUCCUUUACCUUAUCCAUGGUCAAACCGGGAGAAGAAUAAUUUCAAUCAUUUGUUACUAGAUAUAUAGAAAGAUAUAGAUAUGUAGAUAUACAUAGGUAUAGACUAUUUUUGCAGCAUGGGGACAUACCAUGUGACUUUGAGAAUAAGGCUGUAUGAAAUCAGAGCACCAUGGAUCUAAGGUUUCCCACUCUCACUUUAUGACACAAAUAUCAUGGCAAAUCCUAGAAAACUAGAAGACUGGAUUCUACGAUUCCAAAGGUCCCCUCUCAUGUUAAAAUGGUAGGCAGAUACUUAACUUCUCCAACUCUCACUCUGAUCAUCAUUAUUAACCAAGAACAUAAGAUGUUAUCUUAAGGUUCUUGUGAAAAUUAAAUGAUGGCUUUUUUCAUUAAACAAGAAAUGACAUGAAAAUGGCUUAGUAGCGUGUUUGGUGCAUAAUAACCAUUAUGUUAGUUGUUUUUAGAUACAGAUGCUAUUUAGGUACAGAACGUUAGUUAGGUUUUAGAUAUAGAACUGCUAUUGCCACCAAUAAAGAAUGGUUUAUCCGCUAUUUUUCUUCCUCAAGUAAAACGUACAGGGAACACUUUGUACUGCUUUAAGGUUUUUGAAACUCUGGCCUGAGCUUGUUUCCUUGCUCUACAUGAAGGGAACAGAAUAUCUUAUUUCUGGGUGGCAAAGAGUUUUUUUUUUUAAACAAUUCUAUGAAAUUUAUUCUAGGGUACCUAAAAGCAUUGGACCACUUGGUGAGGAUGUUAUAGAGAAAAUAAGCAUCUGAUGGACACGGGCAUGUCAGACUAGAUAACAGUUUACAUCCUUCCAACCUUGAGUCUGCUGAGACAGACAAGAGAGGUUAUGAAAUGAGUUAUGAAAAUGAGUAUUAGCGUGAAUAGGUUAUGAAAAUGAGUAUUAGCGUGAAGUCAUCUUGUGAAUCUGAUCAUACUAAUGAAAAAAGGACACACUAAUCAAUUUAUUUCUUGGAACUAUAUUAAGGUUUUUAGCCUUCCAUAUUCAGUUUACUAAAUCAUUUCUGACAGUGUGUUAUGGUAAGGUAGUCAUAGGAAAGAGUUAAUUCAUUUCUACCCGAAAGCAAUCUACUACCUCUCAAGUGUAGAAUAAGGACUACAAUAUGUUGCUGAACUGAUAUCCAUGCAUCAAUGGAAACAGGCCCUAGGAACUGAAAGUUUCAUUUCCUCCCCAACAUCUUGACAACAUUCCCUGCUCCUAGAACCCUCAUUCAAAUAUGGGGAGAGGAUGGGACAGGCACCCUGUAAAUUUACUCUUACUUAAGAGUUGAGAAUUUGUAACUGAAGAUAACGUCCUGAAUUAAUGUCUUGCUUCUUGUGCCCCCCCAAUUCAGUUUGACCUUUCACCCCAAAGGCUUCUUAAAUUUAUAUAAUUCUCAGGCAUAAAAUCCUGAGAACUUCUUAAAGGAUUUAAACGGUAUCAGGAUGUAUAAUUUUUGUAGCACCAAUAAAUGCUGAAAAAUAAAUAUCUAAAGUCUAAAUUAUGAAAAAGAAAUCUUUAUAACACCAUAUUGCCCCACAAAAUAUCACUAAGCUUCCUGGGAUUGGUUAUAGUCUAAAAUUCACACAGCCUCAUAAAACCAUUCUCUAAAAUGAAGACCCAAGAGGACAGGGAAGUUUUGUUUUUUUUCCUUUCCUUAUUUCUCCCCAAACCUUCAACGAUGUCUAGGAUACAGUGAGUGCUCAAUGGAUAUCUGUCGUAUGCAUUGAAUGAAUUCCCUCCUUUAACACACAAACAUUUAUCUACAAAGUAUUUUAAAUGCUUGCAAAAUGUCCUGUAUGCUUUAUUUAUGAAUAACGUAAUGAUAUCUUGACUUGAGAGAAAAUAUGAUUAUCUGUUGGUUCUCUGAGAGCAAAUUUAUAGACUUAAAGUGGGAAAUUGCCAAGUAAGAAAUUAUGGUAAAACUUUUUUCAAGUCAGCAAUUCAUUGUAUUUUCUUUUAAUGAAUGCUAUUUCCCUUAAAACUUGUAAGUUAUAGCCAUGCACUAAUUUUUACCGAAGGUAGUGCUGCUGUGUUACAUUGAUGUUUCAAUAGGGUUACCAGAUAAAAUACAAAUAAUUGCACAAUAAUUGGUACAAAAAUAUAAAUAUCGCAUGGGGCAUAUGUGUAUGAAAAAAUUAUUGUCUAUCUGAAGUUCAAAUUUAACUGGACAUCCUGUAUUAUUUUCCUGCUAUAUUUGACACCCCUAGCUCAAAGUAAAUAUCAGUGCUCUCAUCUUAAACUGUUGUCACAAUCAAAUACAAGUUGCUUAAUAAAUAAAUCCAUAACUGACUGUCUUAUCAUUAUCUUUUCUCAGGAAAAUAAACAAACUAAGGAAGAAAAUGGCUUCCCGAGUGACGGCAGUGGUGUGACUCUCCACGGGGCCUCUCCUUUGUAGUUCCCUGAGGUCAGCAGCGGCUCCGUGGGGCAGUGCUACACCCGGACCCAGAGUCCUACCCUCUCUGAUGAAUGAAUCCUAUUACACGUUACAGGCCCUUAUCGGUAUGCUUUUCCGGAUGGACCUAGAGACUGUCAUACAGAGUGAAGUAAGUCAGAAAGAGAAAAACAAAUAUCAUAUAUUAACGCAUAUAUGUGGAAUCUAGAAAAACGGUACAGAUGAACCGGUUUGCAGGGCAGAAAUAGACAGAGAUGUAGAGAACAAACGUAUGGACACCAACGGGGGACAGUGGGAGUGGGCAGUGGGAUGAAUUGGGAGACUGACAUAUAUACACUAAUACGUAUAACAUAGAUAACUAAUAAGA